rnacentral:lncRNA from 1 species
AGGUAGCCUAGUGGUUAGAGUGUAGGGGAGGCAGGUAGCCUAGUGGUUAGAGUGGAGGGGAGGCAGGUAGCCUAGUGGUUAGAGUGGAGGGGCGGCAGGUAGCCUAGUGGUUAGAGUGUAGGGGAGGCAGGUAGCCUAGUGGUUAGAGUGGAGGGGAGGCAGGUAGCCCAGUGGUUAGAGUGGAGGGGCGGCAGGUAGCCUAGUGGUUAGAGUGUAGGGACGGCAGGUAGCCUAGUGGUUAGAGUGUAGGGACGGCAGGUAGCCUAGUGGUUAGAGUGUAGGGGCGGCAGGUAGCCUAGUGGUUAGAGUGUAGAGGAGGCAGGUAGCCUAGUGGUUAGAGUGUAGGGGCGGCAGGUAGCCUAGUGGUUAGAGUGGAGGGGCGGCAGGUAGCCUAGUGGUUAGAGUGGAGGGGAGGCAGGUAGCCUAGUGGUUAGAGUGGAGGGGCGGCAGGUAGCCUAGUGGUUAGAGUGUAGGGGAGGCAGGUAGCCUAGUGGUUAGAGUGUAGGGGCGGCAGGUAGCCUAGUGGUUAGAGUGUAGGGGCGGCAGGUAGCCUAGUGGUUAGAGUGUAGGGGCGGCAGGUAGCCUAGUGGUUAGAGUGUAGGGGCGGCAGGUAGCCUAGUGGUUAGAGUGUAGGGGCGGCAGGUAGCCUAGUGGUUAGAGUGGAGGGGAGGCAGGUAGCCUAGUGGUUAGAGUGUAGAGGAGGCAGGUAGCCUAGUGGUUAGAGUGGAGGGGCGGCAGGUAGCCUAGUGGUUAGAGUGUAGGGGCGGCAGGUAGCCUAGUGGUUAGAGUGGAGGGGCGGCAGGUAGUCUAGUGGUUAGAGUGGAGGGGCGGCAGGUAGCCUAGUGGUUAGAGUGGAGGGGCGGCAGGUAGCCUAGUGGUUAGAGUGUAGGGGCGGCAGGUAGCCUAGUGGUUAGAGUGUAGGGACGGCAGGUAGCCUAGUGGUUAGAGUGUAGAGGAGGCAGGUAGCCUAGUGGUUAGAGUGUAGGGGCGGCAGGUAGCCUAGUGGUUAGAGUGGAGGGGCGGCAGGUAGCCUAGUGGUUAGAGUG